rnacentral:rRNA from 1 species
GACAUGCAGGUAUCGGGUUUACGAAGUAGGCCCACCUCGGAGGGCCUGCACAGGUGCUGCAUGGCUGUCGUCAGCUCGUGUCGUGAGAUGUCCGGUUAAGUCCGGUAACGAGCGCAACCCUCGCUGUAUGUUAUACGUGUCAUACGGGACUGCCGGUAUCAAGCCGGAGGAAGGUGGGGAUGACGUCAAGUCAGCAUGGCCUUUAUGUCUGGGGCUACACACACGCUACAAUGGCCAGUACAAUAGGUUGCAAGACCGCGAGGUGGAGCCAAUCCUAAAAGCUGGUCUCAGUUCGGAUUGCAGGCUGCAACUCGCCUGCAUGAAGUCGGAGUUGCUAGUAACCGCGCGUCAGCUAUAGUGCGGUGAAUACGUUCCCGGGCCUU